rnacentral:lncRNA from 1 species
UAGGAAGGGGUGCCUGGCUGCCCAGGGGCACCCAGAGAUUCUCUUGGCUAUGGAAAACUAGGACGCAAAAGUUAAGGCAAGAUACACUCCCUCUCCUGCUUCCUGGAAGAAGACAAUCUCAAACACUCUCCAAUCAUAGAUAGCAUCAAGCACACAGUCCAGGUUCCCUGGUUGCCAGUGCUGAGACAGCUACAUGUAACCCCAUUGCAGGACUGACUUUUUGGAGGAAGAAAAGGCAAGAAUUUGCCUACACUCUGAAAAAUAUCCCUGGUCUUGCCUCUUGAAACAGGACAUGGAGAUUAUUGCGCAGUGACAAAAAUUUACCUAGAUUUAACCUAAAUAAAAGUAAUAUAGAAAUUGAGCUGAAAGAUUAGAUGACCUAAUAAAACAGUUGAUAAACAGAAA